GACGAACGCUGGCGGCGUGCCUAAUACAUGCAAGUCGAACGCACUCUCGUUUAGAUUGAAGGAGUUUGCUCCUGAUUGAUAAACAUUUGAGUGAGUGGCGGACGGGUGAGUAACACGUGGGUAACCUGCCCUAAAGUGGGGGAUAACAUUUGGAAACAGAUGCUAAUACCGCAUAAAACCUAACACCGCAUGGUGUAGGGUUGAAAGAUGGUUUCGGCUAUCACUUUAGGAUGGACCCGCGGUGUAUUAGUUAGUUGGUGAGGUAAAGGCUCACCAAGACCGUGAUGCAUAGCCGACCUGAGAGGGUAAUCGGCCACACUGGGACUGAGACACGGCCCAGACUCCUACGGGAGGCAGCAGUAGGGAAUCUUCCACAAUGGACGAAAGUCUGAUGGAGCAACGCCGCGUGAGUGAAGAAGGUUUUCGGAUCGUAAAACUCUGUUGUUGGAGAAGAAUGUAUCUGAUAGUAACUGAUCAGGUAGUGACGGUAUCCAACCAGAAAGCCACGGCUAACUACGUG
rnacentral:rRNA from 1 species